rnacentral:rRNA from 1 species
UUGAACGCUGGCGGCGUGCCUAACACAUGCAAGUCGAGCGGUAACAGGUGUAGCAAUACAUGCUGACGAGCGGCGAACGGGUGAGUAAUGCUUCGGAAUCUUCCCAUGUAGUGGGGGAAUAACUAGCCGAAAGGUUAGCUAAUACCGCAUACGUCCCCUCUUCUAACGAUGGGGGGAGAAAGCAGGGGAUCGCAAGACCUUGCGCUAUUGGAUGAGCCGAGGCGGAUUAGCUAGUUGGUAGGGUAACGGCCUACCAAGGCGACAAUCCGUAGCUGGUCUGAGAGGACGACCAGCCACACUGGGACUGAGACACGGCCCAGACUCCUACGGGAGGCAGCAGUGGGGAAUAUUGGACAAUGGGGCAACCCUGAUCCAGCGACGCCGCGUGUGUGAAGAAGGCCUGCGGGUUGUAAAGC